AGACCCGAAACCCGGUGAUCUAGCCAUGGGCAGGUUGAAGGUUGGGUAACACUAACUGGAGGACCGAACCGACUAAUGUUGAAAAAUUAGCGGAUGACCUGUGGCUGGGGGUGAAAGGCCAAUCAAACCGGGAGAUAGCUGGUUCUCCCCGAAAGCUAUUUAGGUAGCGCCUCGUGAAUUCAUCUCCGGGGGUAGAGCACUGUUUCGGCUAGGGGGCCAUCCCGGCUUACCAACCCGAUGCAAACUGCGAAUACCGGAGAAUGUUAUCACGGGAGACACACGGCGGGUGCUAACGUCCGUCGUGAAGAGGGAAACAACCCAGACCGCCAGCUAAGGUCCCAAAGUCAUGGUUAAGUGGGAAACGAUGUGGGAAGGCCCAGACAGCCAGGAUGUUGGCUUAGAAGCAGCCAUCAUUUAAAGAAAGCGUAAUAGCUCACUGGUCGAGUCGGCCUGCGCGGAAGAUGUAACGGGGCUAAACCAUGCACCGAAGCUGCGGCAGCGACGCUUAUGCGUUGUUGGGUAGGGGAGCGUUCUGUAAGCCUGUGAAGGUGGCCUGUGAGGGUUGCUGGAGGUAUCAGAAGUGCGAAUGCUGACAUAAGUAACGAUAAAGCGGGUGAAAAGCCCGCUCGCCGGAAGACCAAGGGUUCCUGUCCAACGUUAAUCGGGGCAGGGUGAGUCGACCCCUAAGGCGAGGCCGAAAGGCGUAGUCGAUGGGAAACGGGUUAAUAUUCCCGUACUUGGUGUUACUGCGAAGGGGGGACGGAGAAGGCUAUGUUGGCCGGGCGACGGUUGUCCCGGUUUAAGCGUGUAGGUGUGUGUUCCAGGUAAAUCCGGUUCACUUUAACACUGAGGCGUGAUGACGAGGCACUACGGUGCUGAAGCAACAAAUGCCCUGCUUCCAGGAAAAGCCUCUAAGCAUCAGGUAACAUCAAAUCGUACCCCAAACCGACACAGGUGGUCAGGUAGAGAAUACCAAGGCGCUUGAGAGAACUCGGGUGAAGGAACUAGGCAAAAUGGUGCCGUAACUUCGGGAGAAGGCACGCUGACACGUAGGUGAAGUGAUUUACUCAUGGAGCUGAAGUCAGUCGAAGAUACCAGCUGGCUGCAACUGUUUAUUAAAAACACAGCACUGUGCAAACACGAAAGUGGACGUAUACGGUGUGACGCCUGCCCGGUGCCGGAAGGUUAAUUGAUGGGGUCAGCGCAAGCGAAGCUCCUGAUCGAAGCCCCGGUAAACGGCGGCCGUAACUAUAACGGUCCUAAGGUAGCG
rnacentral:rRNA from 1 species